rnacentral:siRNA from 1 species
ACCAAGGUCCUGCUGCUCCUGAUG